UCAUGGGUCAAUGUGAACCUUCAGGAAGUGAACCUGUGAGUGUCACGGUAGAAGAGAAAACUUCAGCUGGCAACGUGAGCUGUGGGAACAAUUCCCCCGAGCCAGAGGGCCCUGGUGCUGCUGGACUUGACCCAAUCUGAAAGCACAACUGUGCAGAAGAGGGUUCUGGGGAGGAUCAGGAAUCUGAUCCAUGGGCUGGCCAACGUUUCCAAAUGGAGGUACAGCAGACCCUGGCUGUUGGACUGUCAUUUCAAUUACAGCCAAGAAGCUGCUCUCCUUGAUGACCAAGGAGAGUUCUCUGAGCUUUGCUUUGAUGAAGUUAAAGGAAGACCAAGGAGCUGGAAGGUUCCUGCCCAGACAUCCCGAGUCCAGUUUCCAGUUCCCUGGUGUGCUGUACACACAUAUGCACACAGAGGCAUCCCACCGGUCAGCAGCCUAAGACACUGUGC
rnacentral:lncRNA from 1 species